rnacentral:rRNA from 1 species
GCCCAGACUCCUACGGGAGGCAGCAGUGGGGAAUAUUGCACAAUGGGGGAAACCCUGAUGCAGCGACGCCGCGUGAGUGAAGAAGUACUUCGUUAUGUAAAGCUCUAUCAGCAGGGAAGAAAAUGACAGUACCUGACUAAGAAGCCCCGGCUAACUACGUGCCAGCAGCCGCGGUAAUACGUAGGGGGCAAGCGUUAUCCGGAUUUACUGGGUGUAAAGGGGGCGCAGACGGCAGCGCAAGCCAGGAGUGAAAGCCCGGGGCCCAACCCCGGGACUGCUCUUGGAACUGCGCGGCUGGAGUGCAGGAGGGGCAGGCGGAAUUCCUGGUGUAGCGGUGAAAUGCGUAGAUAUCAGGAGGAACACCGGUGGCGAAGGCGGCCUGCUGGACUGCGACUGACGUUGAGGCCCGAAAGCGUGGGGAGCAAACAGGAUUAGAUACCCCAGUAUUG